rnacentral:rRNA from 1 species
UACGAGGGGUGCAAGCGUUGCUCGGAAUUAUUGGGCGUAAAGGGUAGGUAGGUGGUCUCAUUUGUCUGGGGUGAAAGCCUUGAGCUUAACUCAAGAAGUGCCCCAGAAACGGUGAGACUGGAGUCUUGGAGAGGGUCGUGGAAUUCCCGGUGUAGCGGUGAAAUUCGUAGAUAUCGGGAGGAACACCGGUGGCGAAGGCGGCGACCUGGGUAGAUACUGACGCUGAGGCGCGAAAGCGUGGGGAGCAAACAGG